rnacentral:rRNA from 1 species
UAGGGAAUCUUCCGCAAUGGACGCAAGUCUGACGGAGCAACGCCGCGUGAGUGAAGAAGGAUUUCGGUUCGUAAAACUCUGUUGUUAGAGAAGAACAGCGCAUAGAGUAACUGUUAUGCGUGUGACGGUAUCUAACCAGAAAGCCACGGCUAACUACGUGCCAGCAGCCGCGGUAAUACGUAGGUGGCAAGCGUUGUCCGGAUUUAUUGGGCGUAAAGCGAGCGCAGGCGGUCAAUUAAGUCUGAUGUGAAAGCCCCCGGCUCAACCGGGGAGGGUCAUUGGAAACUGGUUGACUUGAGUGCAGAAGAGGGGAGUGGAAUUCCAUGUGUAGCGGUGAAAUGCGUAGAUAUAUGGAGGAACACCAGUGGCGAAGGCGACUCUCUGGUCUGUACCUGACGCGGAGGCUCGAAAGCGUGGGUAGCAAACAGG